GACGAACGCUGGCGGCGUGCCUAAUACAUGCAAGUAGAACGCACAGUUUAUACCGUAGCUUGCUACACCAUAGACUGUGAGUUGCGAACGGGUGAGUAACGCGUAGGUAACCUGCCUGGUAGCGGGGGAUAACUAUUGGAAACGAUAGCUAAUACCGCAUAAUAUUGAUUAUUGCAUGAUAAUUGAUUGAAAGAUGCUAUUGCAUCACUACCAGAUGGACCUGCGUUGUAUUAGCUAGUAGGUGAGGUAACGGCUCACCUAGGCGACGAUACAUAGCCGACCUGAGAGGGUGAUCGGCCACACUGGGACUGAGACACGGCCCAGACUCCUACGGGAGGCAGCAGUAGGGAAUCUUCGGCAAUGGACGAAAGUCUGACCGAGCAACGCCGCGUGAGUGAAGAAGGUUUUCGGAUCGUAAAGCUCUGUUGUAAGAGAAGAACGGGUGUGAGAGUGGAAAGUUCGCACUGUGACGGUAGCUUACCAGAAAGGGACGGCUAACUACGUG
rnacentral:rRNA from 1 species